GGAGAAAGCCGCGAAGACGGGCGCCGGCGCGGACUGGAGCUUCCCCCGGGGGCGGUCGCCGGGGGCGCGCUCAGGACGCGCCGAGAGCGCGCUCAGGGGCCCGGCGCCUCCCGCUCUCGCCGCGGGCCCAGGGAGGCCCCGGGACCGCGCCCGCGCGGCAGCACGACCGCCGGCCCCACGGCCCGCCUCGGGCCCGCCGCGACACGAGCUGCCGCGACUCGGCCGUGACGGCUGCAGCACCGCGCGGGCCCAUGUUACAGGCAACGACAAGGUCGACGAACUGAGCAAAAAGCGGUCACUGACUGCCGAAACCCGGGAUCGAACCAGGGACCUUUAGAUCUUCAGUCUAACGCUCUCCCAACUGAGCUAUUUCGGCUGCCUCUGAAGUGCUCCCAACCUAUGUUACAGGCAACAACACCGCGGAACAGCUGCCACAAAGGUCAGUCUGUGUUUCACGAACACUACCGAGGUCGACGAACUGAGCAAAAAGCAGUCAUCGGCUGCCGAAACCCGGGAUCGAACCAGGGACCUUUAGAUCUUCAGUCUAACGCUCUCCCAACUGAGCUAUUUCGGCUGCCCGUGGAGUCACGCCUUGGAGGAGAUGUGUGAAGACAAAGACCCAUCUCCUUAAAAACCCCCGGCCUCAACCGGACUGCAUGCUCAGCCCUCUGCCUCUCUGCUCAGCCGCCCGCCUGGCCUGGCCAGGUGUAUUCCACUCAACCAUGUAACCUCGCUCUUCCCCCAGUCCGAGCGACUGGGCACUCUCUCUCAGGUUCUGUCUGGAGAGGUGCCCAUCCGUUCUUACGCAUGUCCCUUCCCUAAUAAACCUUGCUAUUUUACUUUCUACUACUCUCUGUCUCACACUUGAAUUCUUUCUUGCGCGAAGAUAAGAACCCUGCCAUUCACUGGUAACAUGCUAAUGUGACCAUAGGCCAUAAGGAAAGACUACUGCUAGGCCUGGCAUAGAUCCUCUCCUGGUCACUGAGAGCACAGGCCCGGUUCUUCACUCCCAGGAAGGCAGAUCCUCCUUAGAUGCUCACUAGAACAGUAUCUGGCAAACAGAACUUAAAUAAUCAUGUUUUUCCAAGAAACUAAAAACAGAAACCAUUAUGAGGGGAACUGGGUAAGGGAUAGGAAAAACAGGGAACUUUGUACACAAAAAUAUUUUAACUGUGAAAGAAAGGGGAGAAUUGUCACAAUCAAAUGUAGUGCUGCGUCAACUCAACAAGAGUAAAGCAAGCCAGGAGAUUAGGAAGAAAGGGGUUUUACGUGAGAUUGCCAGAUAGGAACUAUCACAGAAGGCUGCAAGAAUUGCGACCUCACCUCACCCCUGAGGCCACCACACCCCUAAGAGACAGCGUGUGGCAGCCAAGCCCCAGCUCUGCCCACCAGGAAGCCCUUGAAAAACCAGAGACAGACAAAAGAACUGGUUGGAAUCAGUUAAGUCCAAGAUGGCACCUAAUCUAACCUCAAGGAGACCUAAGCCCUUAUCGCACCCUCAUACUACAUUAGCAUACUACGGGGUGGGGAAAGCAUCGGAAGACGGCCCAUUGGGUCCCGGCCACCCCUAUAGGAGACCUGGAUGGAGUUUCAGGCUCUCAACUUCAGCCUGGCCCAGCCCUGGCCAUUGCAGCCAUUUGGGAAGUCAACUAGUGGAUGGAAUCUCUCUCUCUCUGUAACUCUGCCUCUCCAAUAAAUAAAUAAAUCUUUAAAACAUAAUAAUACAUUAGCAUGGUAAAAAUCACUCCUGUUGUGGUGGAAUGAGAAGGCCAUGCCAAGAUGGCUGCUGGCAACGGAAACUGCCUGGCAACAGGCUGUGAUUGGUUAGGGCAUAGACCACCCCUUGACAGGAUUGGCUGCCUUGGCUAUAUAAGCUGCUGUAGCAACUGAAAUAAACAAGUCUGCUGGCUGCUCGCCUCUGGCCCGCCUUCACCCUGCUCCCGGGGUCUGUGCCUCUUGCACCCACCGAGCUCCUCCUCUCAGAACGAAUCCACCUCAACACCCCUUCAAGAGCAUGAUUUUACAGUUGCCAUGGUAACCUACAGACGUGGAUCCCUAAUUCCUGGAAGUUGUCGCCUCUUUCCCAGGAAUAAGGCAGCAGCUCCUGGGAUCUCUCAGCCUCCACAGCUGUGUGAGCCAAUCCCCACAAUAAAGCAGCUCUUACCCAUCUACACGUGGGCUCCGGUUCUGUUUGUGCGGAGAACCCUCUAAUACAGAACGCUAUCACCACGGGACAGAAAAGCUGCAGGCAGGAAGCAGCAGGGAGAGAAACAGAGUCCAGGAGAGAAGGAAGCUCCUGAGACCAAACACCACGCAGGCGGGACCGGUGAAAGCGAGCUACGCGGAGUCGCCAUCUCAGACGCCACUGUCAGGAUGAAGUAAUUCUCCAAACAAGACUGCUCAUUUUCCGAUGAAAGUAGGCAGAAAAGCCUGUCAGAGACGUUUGGCUCCUGGGGGAGAACUGGCGUCCUUGCACACCGGGCGGAGGGGCGACUCGGAGGACGCCGCAGAUGCAGGUGAGCGCACCUGUGGUCCGCAGCGCUCCCUGGGAGCAGCUCCGAUCCCGCCGGCCUGUGGAUCCCGGUGCGGCUGCACGAAUCGCGGAAGAGGGACCCCCGUCUCAGCCCGCAAGGAACUGAAGAGCGGGUUAGCCAAAGGAGGGGGGCGGUUGAGGAGGGGGCUCCUUUGAGGCCGUACAACCUCCACUGUGAGGUCACCCGCUGGAGGAGAAACGGGUGUGGGCGCGAGAGGUGAAUUCAAUUCCCUUGCCGAGUGUGAAAUCGACCCGGCGUCCUCCUUAAUUCUAGCAAUUCUCAGUGGUCUCGCCGUGGAAAAGAUGACCGGCUUUCCAAGAAGGAGGGAAAAAUGCAUCCGCUGGUAGCGGCCUGAGAGAGGGAAGGGAAGAAAACAUGCUCCAGGUGAGGCUCGAACUCACAACCUCGGCAUCACCCGCACAUAUACUGCUGUAUAAGUACCGCGCGCUAACCGAUUGCGCCACUGGAGCAUGCUUUCCCCGCGCCCGCCGCGCGCAUCCUACGGAGCCGAGUCGCAGCGCGCGCCUCUCCCGGCCGCAAAGCGGAUGCGGCCCGGCGCGCGCGCGGAGCUGCAGGUCCCCGGGAGACGGAACGCAGGGGGCGAGCGGCGAGCCGGGACCCCUCUUCCCUCCGGAAGAACCUAGCGACCAGCCCGCUCCUCGAAGCCCUCUCGAGCUUGCCUGAAGCCCCCCUUCGCCAUCCUCGGGAACGGGUCCUCCCCGCACCCACAGCCUCGCCGUGCAGCCCGCGCGCCCCCCGCGGCACCUGUCUACGCGUGUGCCCGCGCUCCGUAUUCAGAGGCCGGUUCUGCCCGCCUGCCUGCUUGCAGGUUUUGGUCUGGGGAAGCUGCCGCGAUCUGGUUCGUGGACACAGAUUCUGGCCUCUGCGGAACGAAAGGCUCCUGUGUGGGGAAGCAGCCUUUUGCAGAAAGGGCAGCCAGCGGGUUCCUCCGGGCUCCCCUGCAUUGGUGCCUGAGCCCCCGCGCCUCGGGAGACGCCCAGACCUCUGGAAAGCACCCAGCCGCGGUGGCGAGGUGCAGCGUGGCCACCCGAGUGCUGUGCCUCGGAGCGUUUGCGGUCCUCCACAGUGCCUGUGGAAUCUUAGGGAUUCGGCCAUGGUGAUGUUAACAGGUGCGACCUUCAGGGAGGAGGCUCACAGAGCUGCGCCCUUCUGCCCUCACGGGCGCUGAACCUGCUGCCUGGAUCUGGAGCUCUGAACGCGUUUCUGCUCUCCGUCCAUCGCCAGUCUCACAUUUUGUCGUGGUGAAGUGGGGGAGCUGGGAUUUAAUGGGAUCCAAGUGCUGGCCUUCUACUUAAGCAUUCUAAGUACAGACAGUAUGCGGUGCCCAAGAAGCGUGAAGUCUGUUCAAAGGUGCGAUAGCAAACACUCUCACGUGGGCAUGGCUGAGGAGGGGAGUGGACCUGGACCAGGAAGGGAGAAGCCCCGGGGAAGGGAGCUGUUUGGCUGACAGGUGGAUGGACAGGAUGGGGGGGUGGUUCUACCUCCUGGCCCUAAUCUAGCUACCUGCCUUAUCCCACAUCACAGCAGCCCAGUGGAUGCAGCAAGCCGACACAAGGUGUGACACUGCCCUCAACAAGACUGUCCCAGACCAGGUCGGGAGAGGAGCCAGUGGGCGGAACGACUGGAGACGACUCCUAUGUCACUGGGUGUUUGGGUAUUACACUACUCUCAUCAAGGAGGGCUGGCCAGACACGGGAUAGGCCUGGUGCGCCUGAAGUGAUGGCCACGGAGACAGGAGAUGGAAGCCGCGUGGCUAAAAAUGACCGUCUCCUGACCCAGGAGCCUUUUCCUUCCUCUCCUCAGGCCUAUGGGUGGUGACCAGCAGCUGUCAAUAGCCCUAGGGUGCACCGCCGUCCCUCCCUAGUCCCUACCCACACCUUAAAUAACAGCUUCACUAAGUCCUCCUGAAAUCAUGCGGAGUUGAAGGAGCCACCAGUUAACUCCUGAGAUUCGUGUCAUCAGCAGCGAGUGGAAGCUGUGUUGAGGGAAGACAUAAUGUUAUGUCUUGGAUGUGUGAAUGAAGCCCUGAAAAUAAAGGAUUUGUGGCUUUUCAGGAGGUCUCUGUGAGGACAGAGAAGUCCUAUUAUGGAGACCGCAAGGAUCCUCAAGUUCUUGACUUGAAAAGAUGACCCCAAAGGGCCAAGGCUCGAGGCUGUCACUGUUCGGUUCCAGAAAGAAUCAGAUACAGGUCUGCAUUCCAGAAAAGUGCGAAGGCAUCUAACAACCUGAGACAAUUGCUAUUUACCUUUAGGUGUAUUUCCUGUCCAUGAAUCUUAAAACCACGUGAAUAAAGUGAAAACCCUGCACCAGUGUUUUAAACAUGUCAGGCCUGCUCUCAAGUCAUCUUGGAAUCCAAGGUUUCCAAUCACAAUGAACACUUCUCUCCUGCUUGAUAUUUUUAGAAUGUGGUUCUCAACCCUAGAGAAACUUGGACUUUGAGAACUGCUCAUGAGUAUGAGCUUAGCACUCCCCAGGGGUUGAUUUUAUUGCUUUAAGGUAGGAAUCAGUGAUUCCUAAAGCCCUUCUUGGAUUCUCAUCAUCACAGAUACUAUCUCCAAAGCUAUAGAAAUAAAUUUUUAAAAAAGUCUGGACUCCUCAUGAGAAAAGGUUAAAGUCAUAACACAUUUGAAAAGGUCAUGCAAAGGAUGAACAGUUAAAAUCACAAAUCUAAAAGGAAGUUUCCCAGAACUGACACAUCUCCAGGUUCUGUGCCUGUAUGCAUCCUCAGAUACAGCACCCAAUGUUCAGGGGGAAGCUGACAGCAACUGCUAGUACCCGCCAGCCUGGAGGGUGUGGGUUUGGGGAAAGUGGAAAAGUAGCCCGGGAAAGUCGCAGAAUGUCUCAUUCACCCCCAGCACUGAGCGGUGCUUUCCACAGGGUGGAACUGCCGAGCCUCACUAUUUAGACAUUGUCUCUGUGGGGCACAGUUAGUCCUGGAGGAAGAACUACCAGGAUGAACCAUCUUCAACAACCAGCCAAGGCUUGGCAGAACACAAGGAAAGAGGAGAAUAAUGAGAAAACAUGGAUCAGUUGGGGCCCAGUGUUGUGCUCUAGCAGGUCCCAUAUGGGUGCCAAUUAAAGUCCUGGCUGCUCCACUUCCAAUCCAGCUUGCUGCUAAUGUACCUGGGAAAGCAGUGGAAGAUGACCCAAGUGCUUUGGUCCCUGAAACUUUGUGGGAGACUCAGAUGAAGCUCCUGGCUCCUGGCUUCAGUUUGGCCCAGCCCUGGCUAUUGUGGCCAUUUGGGGAGUGACCCAGCUGAUAUAAGACCUCUUUGUCUCUGUCUCUCCCAUUGUCCCUCUUUCUGUGUUACUCCAUCUUUCAAAUAAAGAAAUAAAUCUUUAAAAAGACAGCAUGGAUGAGUUACCAGAAAGAUCCCCACACAGCCCCCUCUCAACACUGAGAACUCUCAACACUGAGAACAGCCCCCUACAGCCCCCUCUCAACACUGAGAAGUCAACAUCCUACAGGAGGCCAUGCACAGGCCAGGGGUCUCCAGAGAAACAGAGGAGCAGGACAAAAACAGAUAGAUAAGAGGAGGUAUGUUCUCAGGACGGUGUAGAGACCUUGGGAGCCAGAAUCUAACAAUCCGCACUCAGCAAAGGGGAGACCCCAGACAGCCAGGGGUGUCGUCCAGGCUGCCUCGAAGUCCCAGGGGGAAUCCCAAGGCCCAAGAAGCAGCAUAGGCUUGAAUGUGCAUGAAGCAUCCUUGCUGAAAUAACCCUUGUCCCCGAGUAGCCCCCCCUGCAUUUUCCUUGCUGCAGUUUACUGCUCCUAAAUGCCCAAACCUCCUUCCUCUGUCUUGCCACUGUCUAUUUAUCCCUCUCUUCCAGAUGUUAUAUCAGUUCUCAGGCCUACUCAGUUUCUUGAGUUCUCACUUCCUGUUUUUGAGAGACACCUAUCUACACAUUAAAAUAGAAAUAUUCACAUCAGAGGUGGCUGUUCUGCCUAGCAGUUAAGACACCCACUGAGAUAUCGCUUUCCAUAUUGGAGGGCCUGGGUUCAAGCCCCAGCUCCGCUCCCAAUUCUAGCUCCUUGCUAAUGCUCACCCAGGGA